rnacentral:lncRNA from 1 species
UAUCCUGCAUCUUGAUUUUAACAGUAUUUAAUUUAAUAUAUGCAUGAAUUUGAAACCAUGUACAGUAUUUGACAGGAUUGUGUCAUAGUAGUACUAUAGUAAGGGUUUUCGAGUCUUUUCAGAGUCAGUUUCUAGAUAGUGUCUAUAUAUAAGGCUAAGAGAUUUAAAUUUCAGUUUUGUGAUCUGAAUGAUAUGAAAUGGGACUAAGUUCCCCCAAUUUCUCUCUCCCUUCUCUCUAAGUUUUUUCUAUCAGUGUUAUCGAAAGCAUUAAGCGCACUGAGGCUCAAAAGUCUCUGGAGCCUAGGCGCAAAGCGCAAAAGCGAGGCGCGCGCUUCUUUGAAGCUAGGCGCAUGUUUUACAAUUUUUUUUAUUUAUUAUUUAGGAUAUAUGUAUAUAGGUAUAUAACAUAAUUUAUACUUCAUAAUAUAUUAAAUCGCACUUUAAGCCAAAAAUAACUUAAUUUAUCCCUUAUAAUAUAUUAAAUAAUACUUUUAGAGGGAAAAACAAUCCUAAAAUUAUAUAUUAAAAUUCAAAAAAUGUGUUUCAUAGGCAGAAUUCCAGGCUUCCAGCUCCCAACAAGUAGAUAUUUUAUCAAUCAUCUUCACAAAAAUCAUCUUUAUUACUAGGGUUUGUGCUGACUGCUGAAUGGCGCUCUUCAGAAGAUGAGAGCAGAGAACGGCUAGGGUUUUCCCCUUUUAAAGUCGUUGAAAGCUGAGAGCCUGAUAUAGCCUUUUUAUUUGGGCCUAAAAUUCUUUCUUUUUUUUGUUAUGGGUUAGUACUUUUGGGCCUUAAAAGUGACCCAAAAUUCUUUUUUUUGUUAUGGGUUAGUACUUUUGGGCCUUAAAAGUGGCCCAAUAACAUUAAAUAUCUUAUUAUGCGCUUAGCUUCGCUAAAGCGCGCUUUUCUACCGCUUCGUGCUUAAGCGCGCUUUGUGCUUCAAGGCUAAAAGCGCGCGCUAGGUUAAAGUUGCUUCGCCUCGACAUAUAUGAGGCGCUAAGGGUGCGCUUUGCUUCGCUUUGCGCCUAGGCGCGCUUUUAACAACACUGCUUUCUAUAGAAACUACAAUUUUAUUCCCCAAGUUCUCUAUAUCUAUCUCUGUAUCUUCUGUUCUAUUGCUCUCAUCUCUAUUUGUUUGAUCUCUCUCUACAUUUCUACUACAAUUUCUCUGAAUUCUCUGAUCAAUUCUCUAUUUCUGCCUUCAAUGUUCUGUAUCACUCUAUUCGAACUGUCAUCUGAAUUUUCUUAUGAUCUCUGAAAAGACCAAAAAUAUACAUAAAAACUCACAAACAUACAUUCAGGAACAAGCAGUUCCUAACAUUAUCCUAAUUUCCAAACUAAUAUGUUGAAGACCAUAAUGCAAUCUACAUAAUAAAGUGUUGAAG